UCUAUCUUCGGUGUGCAAAUGGAGAUGCUGCUGUCAGGGCUCAGCCCACGGGAGUGUUGUACGGCUGCAAAGAAGAGGAUGGACUCAAAGUGUCACUGCGCAGUGCGACUGCUGAGACUGUGGGGUGAAAGCAUGCUGGAUUGGAGAUGCUGGGAGAAAGCACAAGCAGUCCUUCAAGAUGAGGUAGGAGGGAUGGCAGUAACAGAAGAGCACAGCUGAAUCUCAAGAUCUCGAGCAAGGAUAGCAGGAGUUUGAGCAUUUAAAUAUGCCUUUGCCAUGCUGGAGCAUUCCAAGGGGUGUGUGCUUCAAAUUUGGAAAGGCCGUGUAGGAUUUCAGUGCAUCAGCUCAGCCUGGAGGACAAGAGGACACAGACCCUCAGAGCAAAGAGAGCCCUUCCCCA